rnacentral:rRNA from 1 species
GUGGGGAAUAUUGCACAAUGGGGGAAACCCUGAUGCAGCGACGCCGCGUGAAGGAAGAAGUAUCUCGGUAUGUAAACUUCUAUCAGCAGGGAAGAUAAUGACGGUACCUGACUAAGAAGACCCGGCUAACUACGUGCCAGCAGCCGCGGUAAUACGUAGGGGGCAAGCGUUAUCCGGAUUUACUGGGUGUAAAGGGAGCGUAGACGGCAUGGCAAGUCUGAUGUGAAAGGCAGGGGCUCAACUCCUGGACUGCAUUGGAAACUGCCGGGCUUGAGUGCCGGAGGGGUAAGCGGAAUUCCUAGUGUAGCGGUGAAAUGCGUAGAUAUUAGGAGGAACACCAGUGGCGAAGGCGGCUUACUGGACGGUAACUGACGUUGAGGCUCGAAAGCGUGGGGAGCAAACAGG